rnacentral:rRNA from 1 species
GACGAACGCUGGCGGCGUGCUUAACACAUGCAAGUCGAACGGAAAGGCCCUGCUUUUGUGGGGUGCUCGAGUGGCGAACGGGUGAGUAACACGUGAGUAACCUGCCCUUGACUUUGGGAUAACUUCAGGAAACUGGGGCUAAUACCGGAUAGGAGCUCCUGCUGCAUGGUGGGGGUUGGAAAGUUUCGGCGGUUGGGGAUGGACUCGCGGCUUAUCAGCUUGUUGGUGGGGUAGUGGCUUACCAAGGCUUUGACGGGUAGCCGGCCUGAGAGGGUGACCGGCCACAUUGGGACUGAGAUACGGCCCAGACUCCUACGGGAGGCAGCAGUGGGGAAUAUUGCACAAUGGGCGGAAGCCUGAUGCAGCAACGCCGCGUGCGGGAUGACGGCCUUCGGGUUGUAAACCGCUUUCGCCUGUGACGAAGCGUGAGUGACGGUAAUGGGUAAAGAAGCACCGGCUAACUACGUGCCAGCAGCCGCGGUGAUACGUAGGGUGCGAGCGUUGUCCGGAUUUAUUGGGCGUAAAGGGCUCGUAGGUGGUUGAUCGCGUCGGAAGUGUAAUCUUGGGGCUUAACCCUGAGCGUGCUUUCGAUACGGGUUGACUUGAGGAAGGUAGGGGAGAAUGGAAUCCCCGGUGGAGCGGUGGAAUGCGCAGAUAUCAGGAGGAACACCAGUGGCGAAGGCGGUUCUCUGGGCCUUUCCUGACGCUGAGGAGCGAAAGCGUGGGGAGCGAACAGGCUUAGAUACCCUGGUAGUCCACGCUGUAAACGGUGGGUACUAGGUGUGGGGUCCAUUCCACGGGUUCCGUGCCGUAGCUAACGCUUUAAGUACCCCGCCUGGGGAGUACGGCCGCAAGGCUAAAACUCAAAGGAAUUGACGGGGCCCCGCACAAGCGGCGGAGCAUGCGGAUUAAUUCGAUGCAACGCGUAGAACCUUACCUGGGUUUGACAUGGAUCGGGAGUGCUCAGAGAUGGGUGUGCCUCUUUUGGGGUCGGUUCACAGGUGGUGCAUGGCUGUCGUCAGCUCGUGUCGUGAGAUGUUGGGUUAAGUCCCGCAACGAGCGCAACCCUUGUUCACUGUUGCCAGCACGUUAUGGUGGGGACUCAGUGGAGACCGCCGGGGUCAACUCGGAGGAAGGUGGGGAUGACGUCAAGUCAUCAUGCCCCUUAUGUCCAGGGCUUCACGCAUGCUACAAUGGCUGGUACAGAGAGUGGCGAGCCUGUGAGGGUGAGCGAAUCUCGGAAAGCCGGUCUCAGUUCGGAUUGGGGUCUGCAACUCGACCUCAUGAAGUCGGAGUCGCUAGUAAUCGCAGAUCAGCAACGCUGCGGUGAAUACGUUCCCGGGGCU